GAUGAACGCUGGCGGCGUGCCUAAUACAUGCAGGUCGAGCGAAUGGAUUAAGAGCUUGCUCUUAUGAAGUUAGCGGCGGACGGGUGAGUAACACGUGGGUAACCUGCCCAUAAGACUGGGAUAACUCCGGGAAACCGGGGCUAAUACCGGAUAACAUUUUGAACCGCAUGGUUCGAAAUUGAAAGGCGGCUUCGGCUGUCACUUAUGGAUGGACCCGCGUCGCAUUAGCUAGUUGGUGAGGUAACGGCUCACCAAGGCAACGAUGCGUAGCCGACCUGGGAGGGUGAUCGGCCACACUGGGACUGAGACACGGCCCAGACUCCUACGGGAGGUAGCAGUAGGGAAUCUUCCGCAAUGGACGAAAGUCUGACGGAGCAACGCCCCGUGAGUGAUGAAGGCUUUCGGGUCGUAAAACUCUGUUGUUAGGGAAGAACAAGUGCUAGUUGAAUAAGCUGACACCUUGACGGUACCUAACCAGAAAGCCACGGCUAACUACGUGCCAGCCGCCGCAGUAA
rnacentral:rRNA from 1 species